AUUGAACGCUGGCGGCAUGCCUUACACAUGCAAGUCGAACGGCAGCACGGGGCAACCUGGUGGCGAGUGGCGAACGGGUGAGUAAUGCAUCGGAACGUGCCAUUGAGUGGGGGAUAACGUAGCGAAAGUUGCGCUAAUACCGCAUAUUCUGUGAGCAGGAAAGCAGGGGACCGCAAGGCCUUGCGCUCUUUGAGCGGCCGAUGUCAGAUUAGCUAGUUGGCGAGGUAACGGCUUACCAAGGCGACGAUCUGUAGCGGGUCUGAGAGGAUGAUCCGCCACACUGGAACUGAGACACGGUCCAGACUCCUACGGGAGGCAGCAGUGGGGAAUUUUGGACAAUGGGCGCAAGCCUGAUCCAGCCAUGCCGCGUGAGUGAAGAAGGCCU
rnacentral:rRNA from 1 species